UUAUAUUAAAAAAUGUCCCAAAAUGAUCCGUAAGUAAAAACCUGGACCCCUGAAACCCCAAUCCAUAUCAAGAAUCAAGAAAAUCAGAUAUUUAGUCUUCUCGCGGGCCGCGUAAAGAAAAGGUGGGAGGUCACGCGGGCCGCGACAGCUUGUAAAUCUCCGGGUAUGCAUGAAGGCCACGUGUCGUCACACGUGUCGCGACCACCGGUGACUCAGCAACCUCCGAUCUGAUCCACACAUCCACGCGAGCCGCGUAAGGUUUGGCCGAAGGUUCACGCGGGCCGCGACAGGCUUGAAUUUCACCUAUAAAUAGCCUAGCUCAGGAGCUCUCAUUCUGUGUCGAAAUCAAAACUCAAAAACGUAUUCCCACUGCUCAAAAUCACAAAUUAGCAUAACGGGGUGCUGCUACGAUACCAGGUUACAAGACUAAUCUAUAGGCUAAGCUCUGCCUGUAUAAAUCUGCAAUAUCAAGGCUAACCAGUAGGCUAAAUUCUGCCCGUAUAAAUCUGCAUGCUUAUAAAGUAAUUACAGUAUAUUGGAAUAAGAGUUGGACACGGCACCAAAAAGGCUUACAGAAGUGGCUUCGUUUAUUAAUUAAAUCAAAUUAAGAAAUAUUGUUUUAUGUAAUUGGGUUAUCCCUUAUUAAAGCUACCUUUGUAAAACAUGGAUUUAUCCCAUCUAUUUAAUAAAUAA
rnacentral:lncRNA from 1 species